AGUGAACGCUGGCGGUAGGCCUAACACAUGCAAGUCGAACGGCAGCACAGUAAGAGCUUGCUCUUACGGGUGGCGAGUGGCGGACGGGUGAGGAAUACAUCGGAAUCUACUUUUUCGUGGGGGAUAACGUAGGGAAACUUACGCUAAUACCGCAUACGACCUACGGGUGAAAGCAGUGGAUCUUCGGACCUUGCGCGAUUGAAUGAGCCGAUGUCGGAUUAGCUAGUUGGCGGGGUAAAGGCCCACCAAGGCGACGAUCCGUAGCUGGUCUGAGAGGAUGAUCAGCCACACUGGAACUGAGACACGGUCCAGACUCAUACGGGAGGCAGCAGUGGGGAAUAUUGGACAAUGGGCGCAAGCCUGAUCCAGCCAUACCGCGUGGGUGAAGAAGGCCUUCGGGUUGUAAAGCCCUUUUGUUGGGAAAGAAAAGCAGCAGGUUGAUACGCCGCUGUUCUGACGGUACCCAAAGAAUAAGCACCGGCUAACUUCGUG
rnacentral:rRNA from 1 species